AUUAAGGUGGCCGAUAUUUAGGUGAUAAACUGUAAAUUUAUUAAAGAGUAAUUCUCUCUUAAUA
rnacentral:tRNA from 1 species